UACUCCAGGUUUCCAGUCGCUCUGGUGAGUUUAAUAUGAGCUAUGUAAAUUCCUCCCAAGAAUGAUAGGAUUUUGACAGCCUGAUUUGCCUCGCAGGCAUCCUCAAACCAGCUCAUUUUCUCUUCCCUGGAAUUUUCGAGUGGUCGGGUGGCAUUUGAUUAUCAUUGGCUGGCAUAUCUGAGCUCUGGGGUUGUGCAUAAAGAUAUUUUAAAUUUAAUAGGUUUAAGAUGUCAUUAUUUCCAUGCUGAUGAAUUUAUACUUGUAACCAGAGAAACUUAGAGCAUUUAAUGAACUUAUUUAGAUAUCAUGGUGCAAGCUUUAAACCCAAUCCCCAGUAUAAAAUUAAAUCAUAUUGGAUAAAAACUAACACCCAGAAGCAAAAACUGAACUUGGUUAAUGGACAAAUUUCAAAAGACAGAAUAAAUACAGACAUAAGGCACCUAGGGGACAGAUUUACUAAGAGUUUUUGCACUAUUUUCAAUGGAGCUUGUAAUAGCAUAAAAGUAUUAAAUCUGAUUUACUAGAAAGGAUUUGUAUAGUAUUUUGUUGCCUGUUUCCCAGUACUGCAGCCCCUUCCCCAUCUCUCCCAGCUCUCUGACAGGAACUCUGUUCACAGCUGAACACAGUGGAGUAAGCUCCAGUUUUGCCAAGGAGCCUGCAAGCAGCCAGAGAAAAAAGUAACGCAACUAUUCGGUGAUCCAAAAGGAUUGACAAUGUGAUUCUAUGAAAAUCAAUUCUCAUUCCAAACAGGUCAAUACAGAGCAGCCCUGCCAGGCUGGCUGGGAGAUGGAUGCUGCACGCCCAGCCAUAGGACAGUCCUUCCUACCUGCCCCAGUUUGCUAAGGCAGCUCUGGUUUUCCCUCUGGGAUGAACCCGUCUGGGGUUUCGACUCGAGAAACAGCAGGGGAGAUGCUCAAAACAAGCCUGCAAAGCUCAAAAUAGCACACACCAGCUGCUGCUGCUUUCAAGAUAAAGAUGUCACCAGGUUGGAAAUAUUUAGCCACACUUACCCAGGGUUCACGGCUUUUCAAGGUCACCGUCUCUAACAAGGUAUGAAUUGGGCUUCAUCAAGUAAAUGAAAAAUAAACAGGAAGAACACCCAAGGGUUUAUUUUAAUGCACAAGGAAAUGAACUCCAGCAGAAACCAGUCCAUCUCCUGGAGUCAUGGAUGGUGUUGGGAACAGGUGGCUGGGCUCCUGUUGGGCCAUUUGGAGAGUGCUAAUAGCCCCCCUGGUUUAGUAUUUCCUCCUGCUUGGUUUUCUCUCCUUGAGCACCCACAUAUUUCUACCAAACUGUUCAGUGCAUCUCCCUCCCCCCAAAAAAAUUGCAUGUCAAGGAGCAAGUGCUUGCUUCUGUUCUCUCGGAGCAGACAGGAUCUGUAACAAAUGACUCACAUGCAGUAAUUACAGUCUAUUUCUUCCUAUCUUGCAUUGAUUAUUCUGAUGUGGAAAGAAUAGUUUUCUCCUGAAUAAAGGAAAAGCUCUGAAGACCCAAACACUGAAUCGCUGAUUUUUUUUUUCCUAUUUUUUCCCCAUUUCUUUGUUUUUCAGGCACUGUUUAUAGACGUAGUAUAAUGAGGAGAUGAAACAUUUAUAAACAAAACCUCCUGUCAGAGUACUUGUAGUUUAUGUUUGCUUAAAGGACAAU